rnacentral:rRNA from 1 species
AGCAGCCGCGGUAAUUCCAGCUCCAAUAGCGUAUAUUAAAGUUGUUGCAGUUAAAAAGCUCGUAGUUGAAUUUCGGGACCAAUAUGUCGGUCGUGCUUCGGUACGUACUGGUAUCAUUGGUUUCUCCUUUCUGACGAACCAUGAUGUCAUUAAUUUGGUGUUAUGGGGAGUUAGGACUGUUACUUUGAAAAAAUUAGAGUGUUUAAAGCAGGCUUUAGCUUGAAUACAUUAGCAUGGAAUAAUGAAAUAGGACGUUCGAACCUAUUUUGUUGGUUUCUAGGAUCAACGUAAUGAUUAAUAGGGAUAGUUGGGGGCAUUAGUAUUCAAUUGUCAGAGGUGAAAUUCUUGGAUUUAUUGAAGACUAACUACUGCGAAAGCAUUUGCCAAGGAUGUUUUCAUUAAUCAAGAACGAAAGUUAGGGGAUCGAAGACGAUCAGAUACCGUCGUAGUCUUAACCAUAAACUAUGCCGACUAGGGAUCGGAUGAUGUUAAUUUUUUAAUGACUCA